rnacentral:tRNA from 1 species
UUAAAAGCUUUUAUAGCACUUCACUUACACUGAAAUCAAUCUAAUCACUUUA